rfam:Schistosoma margrebowiei strain Zambia genome assembly, scaffold: SMRZ_scaffold0000236
AUCCCGCUGACGAGUCUCGAGUAGGACGAAAUGCGCGUCCUGAAU